CCUCUUCGAGAAGAUGAAGUUAUUUCCUAUUUGCUCACAGGUCUCGGAUCUGAAUAUGAUCCCUUGGUCACAUCUAUCACCACAAGAAUUAGAGAUAUGACACUAGAAGAUGUAUAUGCCAAUCUAAUGAGUUUUGAGU